rnacentral:rRNA from 1 species
AUGAUUCUAAAAAGUAAAAACGCGCAGGAAUUGGAUUCUAAAAACGCGCAGGAAUUAGAUAGAAAUGCAUGCGUAAAAAAGAAGAUUGGAAAACGUAGGAAUUUUGCAGGCUUGGUUGUUUGGCUGAUGGGAAUAGAAAAAACACAGGAAUUCUUGUGUACUUAUAGCAUGUUCUUAUGCCAUGAAGGAUCUCAGUCUCGUUCUUCGUGUGUAAGAAUUUGGAAAGAGGUUCAAGUGGAUUGUAAAUUUUCUGUGUUUUUCCCCUCUAAAACCAGGAACAAAGAUUUGUUUUCUAUAUUUUCCUUUGCAACAUUCCUUUGA